GGGCCUUUAGCUCAGUUGGUUAGAGCUACCGGCUCAUAACCGGUUGGUCCGGGGUUCGAGUCCCUGAAGGCCCA
rnacentral:tRNA from 1 species